rnacentral:lncRNA from 1 species
GGAAGAAAAAGAUAUCAAACCCCAGUAUCCAAAGACCCCGGAACCGUAUCGAUCCCGACCCCUGCUUGGUAUCGAUUGAUCAAUGCCCCUGCCGAAAAGAGGAAUUGCCCUUUAAAAUGGUUGGGAAAGAGAUUGGGAGGGAGGGUUGAUAUUAAUCAAAGCAGGCCCCUCAGAAGGACGGCAGAGCAGCACGGGGAAGAGGAAACAAAAGAAGGAGGUUUGCCGAACAGCCUCGAAUAUUACGGCGGGAGAAGCGAUCAGUUAAUGGCACUGGAUGCAAUGAGGACCUUACAGUUGUUGGCGUCAUCUGGUCAGGAACUCUCUGCAGCUGAGAGUGGAGUGUGACUCGGUGGCCCUGCCACCGAAGCGUGUGAAGAAUCCAACCUCUCCCGUCACCAGCACUUGCCAGAUCUUCGCUCAGUCAACUCUUCGGAUCUUUGCUGGGAGACCACAGGGUUUUCAACGUCAGCCUCCGGCCACCUCCUCGAUUUUGCCUGAGGCACUGGUUGGAGCCUUCCCCUGUGUGGCU